ACACAAAAAAUGAAAAAAAAAUAUAUGUGUGCGUGUGUUUGUGCACAUGCGCGCAUGUGUGUUUUCCAGGAAGUCUCUGCUUGAUGGACAGGCAAAUCGAUAUUUUGACUUUGGCCACUGUUUUUUUUCCUCUUUUCCCCUCCUCUCUCCUGCAGGCGUAGCGGCGGUAAUGGAAGAGGACUGUAAAUAAGUGGAAGGUUCUUGACAAAUGAAUCCAUUAACAUUUUCCUGUGUCGCCUGCAAAGCAAAUCACAAGGCCGACUCGAGUCUACUCAUCCGACUGGAGUUUCCUACCUUGGCUGUAAAGUCGGGGACUGAGAAAGAUGGAUACCCCCCAGCCCCC